AAACCAUGGUGUGGGCAUUUCCUCAUUUCCUCAUUAACUCUCUCCCAAGCCUCAAACAAUGACUCGGACUCAUCUUGUAAAAAUGAUGUGAUAUCAUUUCUAAGUUU